GAUGAACGCUGGCGGCGUGCCUAAUACAUGCAAGUCGAGCGAACGGACGAGAAGCUUGCUUCUCUGAUGUUAGCGGCGGACGGGUGAGUAACACGUGGAUAACCUACCUAUAAGACUGGGAUAACUUCGGGAAACCGGAGCUAAUACCGGAUAAUAUUUUGAACCGCAUGGUUCAAAAGUGAAAGACGGUCUUGCUGUCACUUAUAGAUGGAUCCGCGCUGCAUUAGCUAGUUGGUAAGGUAACGGCUUACCAAGGCAACGAUGCAUAGCCGACCUGAGAGGGGGGACGGCCACCCGGGAACCGAGAACCGGGCCCAGCCCCCACGGGGGGGCAGCGGUGGGAAUCUUUCCGCAAGGGCGAAAGCCUGAACGGGCAACGCCGCGGGGGGGGAGAAGGUUUUCGGGUUGGAAAAACCUUUUAUUUGGGAAAGAAAAAUGUUUAAGGAAACGUGCACAAUUUGACCGGUCCCAAUCCAAAAGGCCCGGCCAAACUCGGG
rnacentral:rRNA from 1 species